AACAUACUCCCUUCGUCCGAAAAAACUUGUUUCUCAAAUGGAUGUAUCCAGCACAAAAUUAGUAUUAGAUACAUCCAUUUGAGAAAUAAGCUAGGGACAAGUUUUUCUGGACGGAGGGAGUACUAC
rfam:Triticum urartu cultivar G1812 contig1210906, whole genome shotgun sequence.